GGGCUUCAGCAGCACAUAUACUAAAAUUGGAACGAUACAGAGAAGAUUAGUGACAUAUAAUAAUCUCAUGAAUUAUAUAUUUUU
rnacentral:snRNA from 1 species